rnacentral:rRNA from 1 species
AUACGAAGGGGGCUAGCGUUGCUCGGAAUCACUGGGCGUAAAGGGCGCGUAGGCGGACUCUUAAGUCGGGGGUGAAAGCCCAGGGCUCAACCCUGGAAUUGCCUUCGAUACUGAGAGUCUUGAGUUCGGAAGAGGUUGGUGGAACUGCGAGUGUAGAGGUGAAAUUCGUAGAUAUUCGCAAGAACACCAGUGGCGAAGGCGGCCAACUGGCUCGAUACUGACGCUGAGGUGCGAAAGCGUGGGGAGCAAACAGGAUUAGAAACCCUAGUAGUCC